rnacentral:pre_miRNA from 1 species
CACGUAUUCCCUCCGUUCGGAAUUACUUGUCACCAAAAUGGAUGUAUCUAGAACUAAAAUACAUCUAGAUACAUCCAUUUCAAUGACAAGUAUUUCCAAACGAAGGGAGUAGAUC